rnacentral:rRNA from 1 species
GACGAACGCUGGCGGCGUGCUUAACACAUGCAAGUCGAACGGAAAGGCCCUGCUUUUGUGGGGUGCUCGAGUGGCGAACGGGUGAGUAACACGUGAGUAACCUGCCCUUGACUUUGGGAUAACUUCAGGAAACUGGGGCAAAUACCGGAUAGGAGCUCCUGCUGAAUGGGGGGGGUUGGAAAGUUUCGGCGGUUGGGGAUGGACUCGCGGCUUAUCAGCUGGUUGGUGGGGUAGUGGCUUACCAAGGCUUUGACGGGUAGCCGGCCUGAGAGGGUGACCGGCCACAUUGGGACUGAGAUACGGCCCAGACUCCUACGGGAGGCAGCAGUGGGGAAUAUUGCACAAUGGGCGGAAGCCUGAUGCAGCAACGCCGCGUGCGGGAUGACGGCCUUCGGGUUGUAAACCGCUUUCGCCUGUGACGAAGCGUGAGUGACGGUAAUGGGUAAAGAAGCACCGGCUAACUACGUG